rnacentral:rRNA from 1 species
UACGGGGGGGGCAGGCGUUGUUCGGAAUUACUGGGCGUAAAGGGCUCGUAGGCGGCCAACUAAGUCAGACGUGAAAUCCCUCGGCUUAACCGGGGAACUGCGUCUGAUACUGGAUGGCUUGAGUUUGGGAGAGGGAUGCAGAAUUCCAGGUGUAGCGGUGAAAUGCGUAGAUAUCUGGAGGAAUACCGGUGGCGAAGGCGGCAUCCUGGACCGGCAUUGACGCUGAGGAGCGAAAGCUAGGGGAGCAAACGGG